CUAAGUAAAUGUGCAUAGAACUGUGGUCUUCCAGUCCUUAUACACAUAUAUAUUCAGAGCUUAUUCAGAAGCGUGCAUAGGAUUGCAGCCUUGGAGUUGAGGCUCCCAAUCUCCAUGUGUACUAAUGUUUUCAAAUGGAGAUGAAAAUAACAAGCCAGACAUGCCAUCCAAGUCCUUGAGAAGCUUUGAUCACAACUUGUGGUAGACACCAAUGAAUUCUUUCCUGUCUUUGAGUUGGCACAAAUGCCUAUCUCCAACUGCAGCCACACUCAGAGCCUCAAUCAGCCACCAAGAGAUUGGGAAAUAAGGCAGCUGUCUUGAACCAAAUAGGCUGGAGUGAGGCAAGAUCCCUAAGAAACAAGGAGAAGGUUACCACUCAUUUCCCUGAAAGAGGCUCCUCUGCCCUAAUCCACCACACCGUUGGCCAACAUUCUACAGACAUUUUAACAGCCAACGUCCCUGACUCCUGAUAGUUUGGCACCGGAUGAGAUUUGCUUCUACAGAUGAGCCAUCCCUGGACAAUACUGACCUAUGCAAGCUGAUGCUAUAAGAGGGUCAACCCCAAGUAGAAAAGGCAGCUUACGUCCGACACCUCCUGGAAGAAAACAGAACUGCAACACGAACAGCUUUACUCGGUUGCAAGCCUCCCAGGGUCCACAGGGAUUUACUCCCAAGAAGGUGU